rnacentral:rRNA from 1 species
UACGUAGGGUGCGAGCGUUAAUCGGAAUUACUGGGCGUAAAGCGUGCGCAGGCUGUUUUGUAAGUCAGAUGUGAAAUCCCCGAGCUCAACUUGGGAACUGCGUUUGAAACUGGAAGGCUUGAGUAUGGGAGAGGGAUGUAGAAUUCCAGGUGUAGCGGUGAAAUGCGUAGAUAUCUGGAGGAAUACCGGUGGCGAAGGCGGCAUCCUGGACCAUUACUGACGCUGAGGCGCGAAAGCUAGGGGAGCAAACGGG